rnacentral:lncRNA from 1 species
UGAAUCUUCCCUCUGCUUUUUUCCAACCUCCACAUGAUCCAGCACGAGCAACGGUAACGGGUUUUCUUCGCUUACUGGUGCGGAAUCAUGCGGAAGGUGGGCAAGCGUGGCGGGUUUGCUUUGGUCAAA